rnacentral:rRNA from 1 species
CCUCCUUUCUUCCGUCGUUCUUACUAUUGUUCCCUGGGCGCGCGCCUGAACCAGCCAAGUCGCGUGAGGGAAGACGGUCCUAUGGAUUGUAAACCCCUUUUGUCGGGGAGCAAAAGACGCCACGCGUGGCGUUCCGAGAGUACCCGAAGAAAAAGCAUCGGCCAACUCCGUGCCAGCAGCCGCGGUAAUACGGAGGAUACGAGCGUUGUCCGGUGUUAGUGGGUGUAAAGGGUGAGCAGGCGGAAGAGCAAGUCAGCGGUAAAAUUGAGAGGCUCAACCUCUUCGAGCCGUUGAAACUUGGUGUCUUGAGUGAGCGAGAGGUAUGCGGAAGGCGUGGUGUAGCGGUGAAAUGCAUAGAUAUCACGCAGAACUCCGAUUGCGAAGGCAGCAUACCGGCGCUCAACUGACGCUCAGGCACGAAAGUGUGGGUAUCGAACAGGAUUAGAUACCCUUGUAGUC